rnacentral:rRNA from 1 species
UACGAAGGGGGCUAGCGUUGCUCGGAAUCACUGGGCGUAAAGCGCACGUAGGCGGCUUUCUAAGUCAGGGGUGAAAUCCUGGAGCUCAACUCCAGAACUGCCUUUGAUACUGGAGAGCUUGAGUCCGGAAGAGGUGAGUGGAACUCCGAGUGUAGAGGUGAAAUUCGUAGAUAUUCGCAAGAACACCAGUGGCGAAGGCGGCUCACUGGCCCGAUACUGACGCUGAGGCACGAAAGCGUGGGAGCAACAGG